rnacentral:rRNA from 1 species
GGAGGAAUAUUGGGCAAUGGGCGAGAGCCUGACCCAGCAACGCCGCGUGGAGGAAGACGGCCUUCGGGUUGUAAACUCCUUUUGACAGGGAAGAGAGAGGACGGUACCUGUCGAAUAAGUCACGGCUAACUACGUGCCAGCAGCCGCGGUAAUACGUAGGUGACAAGCGUUAUCCGGAAUUACUGGGCGUAAAGCGCACGCAGGCGGCUGCUUAAGUCUGACGUGAAAUCUCCUGGCUUAACUGGGAGGG